rnacentral:rRNA from 1 species
GACGAACGCUGGCGGCGUGCUUAACACAUGCAAGUCGAACGAUGAUCAGGAGCUUGCUCCUGUGAUUCGUGGCGAACGGGUGAGUAACACGUGAGUAACUUGCACCUGACUCUGGGAUCCGCGUUGGAAACGACGUCUAAUACUGGAUAUGAUGACUGGGCGCAUGGUCUGGUGGUGGAGAGAUUUUUUGGGUGGGGAUGGACUAGCGGCCUGGCAGCUUGUUGGGGAGGAAAUGGCUCACCAGGGCGACGACGGGGAGCCGGCCUGCGAGGGUGACCGGCCACACUGGGACUGAGACACGGCCCAGACUCCUACGGGAGACAGCUGUGGGGAAUACUGCACAAUGGGCGAAAGCCUGAUGCAGCAACGCCGCGUGAGGGAUGACGGCCUUCGGGUCGUAAACCUCUUUUAGUAGGGAAGAAGCGAAAGUGACGGUACCUGCAGAAAAAGCACCGGCUAACUACGUGCCAGCAGCCGCCGUAA